rnacentral:rRNA from 1 species
AUUGAACGCUGGCGGCAGGCUUAACACAUGCAAGUCGAGCGAGCGGCGGACGGGUGAGUAAUGUCUGGGAAACUGCCUGAUGGAGGGGGAUAACUACUGGAAACGGUAGCUAAUACCGCAUACCAUCAGAUGUGCCCAGCUGGGAUUAGCUAGUAGGGGGGGUAAUGGCUCACCUAGGCGACGAUCCCUAGCUGGUCUGAGAGGAUGAUCAGCCACACUGGGACUGAGACACGGCCCAGACUCCUGCGGGAGGCAGCAGUGGGAAAUAUUGCACAAUGGGCGCAAGCCUGGUGCAGCCAUGCCGCGUGUAUGAAGAAGGCCCUAGGGUUGUAAAGUACUUUCAGUCGGGAGGCGUUACCGACAGAAGAAGCACUGGCUAACUCCGUGCCAGCAGCCGCGGUAAUUC